UAGGGAAUAUUGCACAAUGGAGGAAACUCUGAUGCAGCGACGCCGCGUGAGUGAUGAAGGCUUUCGGGUCGUAAAGCUCUGUCGCAGGGGAAUAACACAAUGAAUGUACCCUGUAAGAAAGGAUCGGCUAACUUCGUGCCAGCAGCCGCGGUAAGACGAGGGAUCCUAGCGUUGUUCGGAAUUAUUGGGCGUAAAGCGGAUGUAGGUGGCUUUGUAAGUCAGGUGUGAAAGCCUAGGGCUCAACCCUAGAAGUGCAUCUGAUACUGCGAAGCUUGAGUGUGGGAGAGGAUAGUAGAAUUCCUGGUGUAGUGGUGAAAUACGUAGAUAUCAGGAGGAAUACCGGAGGCGAAGGCGGCUAUCUGGCCCAACACUGACACUGAGAUCCGAAAGCGUGGGGAUCAAACAGGAUUAGAUACCCACGUAGUCCC
rnacentral:rRNA from 1 species